rnacentral:sRNA from 1 species
ACACGCAUACGAACAGCGUACGGUCGUG